ensembl:snRNA U6 U6 spliceosomal RNA
GUGCUUGCUUCGGCAGCACAUAUACUAAAACUGAAAUGAUACAGAGAUGAUUAGCAUGGCCCCUGCACAAGGAUUACAUGCAAAUUUGUGAAGUGUUCUGUAUUUCU